UUUCAGUGACGAAAACCUUCAGAAUGAUCAGUACCUCAUUUCCUUAAUGGAUGAACAAGGAUGGGUUCCCAUCAAAAUCAUAGCUGACUUCUAAAGGGUUAAGAUGAUGACCAUGGAUGUAGAGUUUAUAGUCUAUGCGUUGAGAUUUUCUACUUCUGUUGAAGUGCAGGGUGACAAGAUACGGAAGCGUGACGAGUGGUCUAAGUGGGUUCCUGCAUCUAAAAGGUCGGCCUCUGAAGAGAAAAUUGGAGGCAAUGACAAAGAUUUCCCAGAGAAUGUAACAAGCAAAGAUAACUUUAAAAACUCUUCAAAGCAUACUGCAUUCUUUUCUCGAGGGAGAUCAAAUGGUGGUCAACUAAGCUUGAAGCAGUUUCAUUAUGAUGGACUAAGAGGGAGACAAACAAAGUAGCAGAUCAAUUAGCAACUACUAGGCCUUUAGACAAUUCUUUUAAAUUUCAUUACCAUGUAUCACAAUAUAUCACUAGUCUUCUUCAUGAAGACCAUGUACUCUUGAUUGCAUAGUAAUAAUAAACAUAGAGGUUAUAAAAAAAAUUAUAUUUUUUAA